CCUCAGCUGGGCGGAAUCUCCUCACCUCCCGCGGCUCUCGAGUCUGAGGAGAGCCGAGACCCUAGGUCCACCCCGCCCCCAACCCAACUUUUCCCUACACCCGAGACUGUGAAAAUACUCUUUCCAUGUUCUCUCCGUGGUGGAGGGAGACGUUUGUGGUAGAGCGAUUCCAACAACAGAAGUGCGCCUAGAAACGUACGAUGUGAAAAUGGGAAGCAUCUGCAGGCAAUUAACUUUCAUGAUGGUAAUGCCUGGAGCUCUGAGACAGGAUGAGGAGCUUAAACUUGAAGCUUCCUGUGAUUGCAUACUCUGGGAGGCACCAGAUGAAGGCUCAAGUACUUGGGACCCUACCACCCUCAUGGGAGACCCAGAUUGAGUUCCCAGUUCCUGGUUUCUCCCACAUGGGGGCAUUUGGGGAGUGAAGCACUGAAGAGAGAAUCUAUGUCUGUCUCUGUUUUUCAAAUAAAUAAAAAUAACUU